rnacentral:lncRNA from 1 species
AACAAAGGCACUGGCUACGGUUACAUGGAAAUGUAACAAUAAUAAAAAUAUUAUUGUUACAUCGGAGACUAAUUGCCGGAAUGCAAAGUUGGGCAAGGAACCGAUUAAUUACGAAUGUAACAAUAAUUAUUGAGGCUACGGUUACAUUGUGUUAUUGUUACAUGAAAAACAGCAAUGUACGCUAAAUUUAUUAAAUUUAAAUCUUCUUUAGCUGUGUUGCUUAAUUCUUUCAUAUGUACUAAUUAAUACUUGUAAUAAUGAUAAUUAAUAAGUAUUAUUAUUAUACAAAUGAUGUUUAAGUAGUUUUACAUAUUAAUCUUAAAGGUAAUAAAAAUACCUCAGAUUAGCAGUGUCAAAAUUAAUGCGAAAAAUAUAGUUUGUUGUUGAGAACUGGGGCUGAUAAAGUGUUCACUUUUUGAAGUAUUUAACUGCACACCUUCUCUUAUUACUGUCAUUAUAUACUUUGAACAAUGGAUGAAGAGAUUUAUUUUACCAAUUUAGUUUUGGAUGAAAAACUUGGGAUGCGUUUGAAACGAAAAUGAAACAAUAUCAAGACACAAAUUUCAUACAGCUCUAUAGCUAUAGCUCUAUACAAAAGCAACUCUAAAAAAUUGAUACAUCAACUGAAGCAAAGUUUGUUAACUGCUAAGUUGGAUACUGAAAUCUGAGGUAAACCUAACAUCCGUAAUGGACGGCAAUGCAAUCAUAUUGAAAGACAACAUGAAACUACACCACAUGCUUUCAACCAAAAGAUCGGAUGAGAAUAUCAACAUUGCGAGAGUAAAAUAGUAUUUCUCACCGAAAGCAUGGCAAACAUUAAAGACCGACCGUGCAAGGGCUGUAUAGCCAGUCAAGGUCGUUAAAAACUUCCAUUUGUAACAUUAAAGAUUUCCUUAUCUUCUAAAAGGAAUAUCGCAGAAUUGAAUUGCACGGUAUGCGAUACAGACGUUCACAGCGGAGGGUAGGAGGGGUCCUGAUCCCGAAAUCCCGGGCUUAAAAACAUGAAGUCCCGAGGUCCCGAAUUAAAAAAAAAAAUAAAUCCCGACAUCCCGAAAGAUCAAUCUCGAUAUCCCGAGCUUAAAAAAACACCCGAUCCCGCAUCCCGAAAAAGGUCCUGCCCCCUUAUUACUGGUGUGUGAUGGCUGCUUGGAGUGGAUUCGUCAAAAUGAUGUGUCGGACUUAAACAUGCUCCAAAAACCACUUACUGGAUAUUUAUAAACUGUCAUUGUAAAUAAAAAAAAAUAAAGACAUUGUAUGUAUUGUAAAUAUAAAAUAAAUGUCUUAAACUUUUAUUAUUUAGUACAUAUUACAAGUCCCCAUCGUACAUUGCUGUUUUUCAUGUAACAAUAACGCUAUGUAACCGUAGCCUCAAUAGUUAUUGUUACAUUCGUAAUUAAUCAGGUCCUCACCCAACCAUGCAUUCCGGCAUUUAGUCUCCAAUGUAACAAUAAUA